UAUUAUUUAAAAUGUAAAUUAAAAAAAAAUAAAGUAGUAUUAGUUAUAUUCUUAAAACUUAAUAAAUUUGGCGGUAUUUUAAUCUAUUCAGAGGAACUUGUUUUAUAAUUGAUAAUCCUCAAUAUAUCUUUCUUAAUUUUGUUUAAUUUGUAUACCGUCGUCAUAAGAAUUUCUUAAAAAAGAGAAAAUUUUCUAAAAUUUUUAUUUAUAAUAAUGUCAGAUCAAGGUGCAGUUUAUAGUUAAGGUUAAAUGAGUUACAAUAAAUUUAUUUAAUAAACGGAUUUAAAAAUUAAAUUUUUUAUUUAAGGUGGAUUUGAUAGUAAAAUAAACAAUAAAAUUUAUUUGAUAAUAGUUCUAAAAUAUGUACAUAUCGCCCG
rnacentral:rRNA from 1 species